AAGAGGAGGAGGAAUCUAGGCAUGUAGGAGAUGUGAGAAGACACAGAGAAGAAACAGGAGGUGCAAGAUGAAGAGAGCAGUCCUGUGAAGUAUGACUGUCCCCUCCACUGCUUUACCAAUAACUAAAUGAGCCAGAAAGAAAUUAAAUCUCAUCCUCAAAUUCCCCACCAACCAAGAGGUAAACUGGGGACUUGAACUCAGCACUUGUAACUCCAGAGUCCAUGCACUCAGACACACUGCACUGUGAAUGACACACAGCACCUCUAGCCUCACAUCUCCAUGACAAGUGGAAAGAAGAGAGGAGAAUACAAAAGCAUCCCCUCAAGUUCCUAGCAGACAGGCUCUCAUAGCCACUAAUAGCUGCAAGGGAUUCUGGGACUCCAAGAGUCAAGCUGAUCUUCACGGUCUCCUUUGCCUCCUACAGCAGCAAAGUGAGUUACGGGACUCA